UCCAUGUUUGUUUGUUUGACCUCUGAGAUUGACGUUAUCAAGAUCUGAUUAAUUAAGAAAAAAAGGGCGAAACCCGGAAAUUACAGCUCUAAAAGUGCCAAAGAAGCGCAGAUAAGCUCAAUUUUCUGAGUGUUUGCAACAUAGGUUUGACAAAAACGAUAUAUAUGGACAUGGUUGUCUCAAAUCUUCAACAGCAACGCGCUAUCACCGAGCAACUCCGCCGUGAAGCUGCGAUUAAGAGAAUGCCAGUAUCUCUUUCCGUAAAGGAGAUUGUAAGAUACAUCACCGAACAUGAACAAGACGACUGUCUUCUUGUAGGAUUUUCAAGCCAGCGUGUGAAUCCCUUUCGUGAGAAAACCCCGUGUUCCGUGCUGUAAUUGUAUAGCGAAAACGGAAUAGCGGGGUUUGUUCAAAGUACACAUAUUAAAAUUCCAAAUAUUUACACAAGGGGAGACUUGAAUUUUUCUAUUUUACCGUUAGGAUAAGGCCUAAGAGCGAUUUUUAUUAAAGUUUAAACAAAAACAGGGUAACUAAAUAAGGUAAAAGUAUUUUUUGAGAAGCUUUGGAUGUUUUUUACUACAUAACUCUGAACGUUAAUAGAAAAAUUUGAUUCUACUUAUUAUACAAUUAAUUCCACAAUAUAUAUCAAAAUAAUUUGCAUUUAUUGAAUAUAUUAAUGUUAAAUGACUCUUAUAUUUGCAUUUAAUAAAAAUUAAUAUGACCACAA